UGGAUCAAUGAUGAUGACUGGUCACAUAGGUCAUAUAUGGUGAGUGCGAGGUGUCUGUAACUCUUGUGUUCAC
rnacentral:snoRNA from 1 species